GACGAACGCUGGCGGCGUGCUUAACACAUGCGAGUCGAACGGAAAGGCCCUGCUUUUGUGGGGUGCUCGAGUGGCGAACGGGUGAGUAACACGUGAGUAACCUGCCCUUGACUUUGGGAUAACUUCAGGAAACUGGGGCUAAUACCGGAUAGGAGCUCCUGCUGCAUGGUGGUGGUUGGAAAGUUUCGGCGGUUGGGGAUGGACUCGCGGCUUAUCAGCUUGUUGGUGGGGUAGUGGCUUACCAAGGCUUUGACGGGUAGCCGGCCUGGGAGGGUGACCGGCCACAUUGGGCCUGAGAGAGGGCCCAGACUCCUACGGGAGGCAGCAGUGGGGAAUAUUGCAGAGUGGGCGGAAGCCUGAGGCAGCAGCGCCGCGUGCGGAAUGACGGCCUUCGGGUUGUAAACCGCUUUCGCCUGUGACGAAGCGGGAGUGACGGUAAUGGGUAAAGAAGCACCGGCUAACUACGUG
rnacentral:rRNA from 1 species